UACGGAGGGGGCAAGCGUUGUUCGGAUUUACUGGGCGUAAAGGGCGCGUAGGCGGUUUGGCAAGUCACUUGUGAAAUCUUCGGGCUUAACUCGAAGCGGCCAAGUGAUACUGCCGAACUAGAGUGCAGAAGGGGCAAUUGGAAUUCUUGGUGUAGCGGUGAAAUGCGUAGAUAUCAAGAGGAACACCUGAGGCGAAGGCGGAUUGCUGGGCUGACACUGACGCUGAGGCGCGAAAGCUAGGGUAGCAAACGGGAUUAGAAACCCUUGUAGUCC
rnacentral:rRNA from 1 species